UACCUGGUAUAUGCGCCAGACAAUCAGUCCUCGAGCCGAUAACGUGUUAAAUAGGGGCUUCUGAAAUUGGUUGUUGUGCAAGCCCGACGAUGAUCGGGAAGCCUAAUGCCGAGCAGUAGCAUCCGCCUUGAACCAUUGGGUUCAAGGGCAGCUUUGUCAGCGGUAUACCGGGACC
rnacentral:other from 1 species